rnacentral:rRNA from 1 species
UACAGAGGGGGCAAGCGUUAUUCGGAAUUAUUGGGCGUAAAGGGCGCGUAGGCGGCCCGGCAAGUGGAAGGUGAAAUCCCUCGGCUUAACCGAGGAACUGCCCUCCAAACUGCUUGGCUUGAGUCCGGGAGAGGUGAGUGGAAUUCCCGAGUGUAGCGGUGAAAUCCGUAGAUAUCGGGAGGAACACCAGUGGCGAAGGCGGCGACCUGGGCCAAUAUUGACGCUGAGGUGCGAAAGCGUGGGGAGCAAACAGG